GACGAACGCUGGCGGCGUGCUUAACACAUGCAAGUCGAACGGUGAAGCGCCUUCCUUUUUGGUGGGUGUGGAUGAGUGGCGAACGGGUGUGUAACACGUGAGUAACCUGCCCCCUUCUUCUGGAUAACCGCAUGAAAGGGUGGCUAAUACGGGAUAUUCUGGGUCUGUCGCAUGAUGGGUCUGGGAAAGAUAUUGUUUCGGUGGGGGAUGGGCUCGCGGCCUAUCAGCUUGUUGGUGGGGUGAUGGCCUACCAAGGCGGUGACGGGUAGCCGGCCUGAGAGGGUGGACGGUCACACUGGGACUGAGACACGGCCCAGACUCCUACGGGAGGCAGCAGUGGGGAAUAUUGCACAAUGGGCGCAAGCCUGAUGCAGCGACGCCGCGUGAGGGAUGGAGGCCUUCGGGUUGUGAACCUCUUUCGCCAGUGAAGCAGGCCUGCCUCGUUUGUGGGUGGGUUGACGGUAGCUGGAUAAGAAGCGCCGGCUAACUACGUG
rnacentral:rRNA from 1 species